rnacentral:rRNA from 1 species
AACAGGAUUAGAUACCCUGGUAGUCCACGCCCUAAACGAUGUCAACUGGUUGUUGGGAGGGUUUCUUCUCAGUAACGUAGCUAACGCGUGAAGUUGACCGCCUGGGGAGUACGGCCGCAAGGUUGAAACUCAAAGGAAUUGACGGGGACCCGCACAAGCGGUGGAUGAUGUGGUUUAAUUCGAUGCAACGCGAAAAACCUUACCUACCCUUGACAUGCCAGGAAUCUUGCAGAGAUGUGAGAGUGCUCGAAAGAGAACCUGGACACAGGUGCUGCAUGGCCGUCGUCAGCUCGUGUCGUGAGAUGUUGGGUUAAGUCCCGCAACGAGCGCAACCCUUGUCAUUAGUUGCUACGAAAGGGCACUCUAAUGAGACUGCCGGUGACAAACCGGAGGAAGGUGGGGAUGACGUCAGGUCAUCAUGGCCCUUAUGGGUAGGGCUACACACGUCAUACAAUGGCCGGGACAGAGGGCUGCCAACCCGCGAGGGGGAGCUAAUCCCAGAAACCCGGUCGUAGUCCGGAUCGCAGUCUGCAACUCGACUGCGUGAAGUCGGAAUCGCUAGUAAUCGCGGAUCAGCUUGCCGCGGUGAAUACGUUCCCGGGUCUUGUACACACCGCCCGUCACACCAUGGGAGCGGGUUCUGCCAGAAGUAGUUAGCCUAACCGCAAGGAGGGCGAUUACCACGGCAGGGUUCGUGACUGGGGUGAAGUCGUAACAAAGGUA